CACUGUGUAUCAUCGCCACCGGAAAUUGGGUACUAACGAAGCGGAGAGAAAUGGGAAAAAAAAGUAAACAAGGGAUAAAAGAAUAAAAGACUGUUGCUAAGGCUGUUUGGCCUAAACUUAAAGGAGUAGAUGGAGGGGUAGUGAGAAGGAAUGUAUUCGUCCGAAUUCUUAUUGUACUUAAAUUUUCAUGAUUACUAUAUAUGUAUAAUAUUUCUCAGUAAAUUUUAAUGUGAUAUUGUGCCAAUUAAAAUUAUAUAAUUAAUACAAGUAAGACUUGCAUUUGCUUUAAAAGAUAUACAUGUAGCAGCACGUGAUUAUUUGUUUUCAAACACACCUUCUCUGUUUUGAACUUAUAAAUGUAUGGAUCCCGUCUAUCUGUUUGGUUGAAUAUAAAUGUGAAUUCAUAGUGUUUUAAAAUCAACAGUUAGCCCUAUUUUUGUGUGUGUGUAAAUAAUCUAAUCUUUAGAUAGAUGCUAAAAUUAAAAUCAUUUUUCUUAAUAAGAAGAAAAAAGUGCAACUAAAGCACGCCUCAAUGUAAAAAGGUGUACCCGACUUAUUCUUUCACGAUAAGAAGUUACCGAUUUCGGUAUUUUAACAGAACUGUUUGCGAGGGCAAAUAAAUAAAAGAACGCUUUCAAAUCAACAUUUAAAUUUUCGUGGAUUUUUCCAAAAGAAUUUAUGAGUAUGCAUCAUCAGGAAUUAAAAAAUAUUUCAACCUGUCCUUAUCAUGCUUAUUAGAUGUUAUUUGAUUAUAUUUCUUUAACUUACAAGUCGAAGAUGCUAGCUUUUGUGUAUUAUAUUAAUAAGUGUAUAGCAUUAAAAUUACAACCAAAAAAAAUUCA